rnacentral:sRNA from 1 species
ACCCGAAGACCAGCCAGACCAUGGAGCUCGCCCCCAACUUCCAGGCGGCUGAGUGACCAGGCUGGGGAGGAUGAGGAAGAGUGUGAAGAGGAGGCAGAGAGCCCAGAGCGGGUCCUGCUGCCCUUCCACUUCCCUGGCAGUUUCGUGGAGGAGAUGAGUGACAGCCGGCGCUACAGCCUGGCGGAUCUGACUGCCCAGUUUUCACUGCCUUGUGAGGUCAAGGUGGUGGCCAAGGACACCAGCUACCCCACUGACCCUCUGACCUCAUUCCUGGGCCUGCGGCUGGAGGAGAAGAUCACAGAGCCAUUCUUGGUGGUGAGCCUGGACUCUGAGCCUGGGAUGUGCUUUGAGAUCCCUCCCCGGUGGCUGGACCUGACUGUCGUGGAGGCCAAGGGGCAGCCAGACUUCCCAGAGGGGUCUCUCCCCAUAGCCACAGUGGAGGAGCUGACAGACACCUUCUAUUAUCAUCUUCGG